rnacentral:rRNA from 1 species
GAUGAACGCUGACAGAAUGCCUAACACAUGCAAGUCAACUUGAACUUCGGUUUGGGUGGCGGACGGGUGAGUAACGCGUAAAGAACUUGCCUCACAGAUAGGGACAACAUUUGGAAACGAAUGCUAAUACCUGAUAUUAUGAUUAUAUGGCAUCGUAUAAUUAUGAAAGCUAUAUGCGCUGUGAGAGAGCUUUGCGUCCCAUUAGCUAGUUGGAGAGGUAACGGCUCACCAAGGCGAUGAUGGGUAGCCGGCCUGAGAGGGUGAUCGGCCACAAGGGGACUGAGACACGGCCCUUACUCCUACGGGAGGCAGCAGUGGGGAAUAUUGGACAAUGGACCAAGAGUCUGAUCCAGCAAUUCUGUGUGCACGAUGAAGUUUUUCGGAAUGUAAAGUGCUUUCAGUUGGGAAGAAAAAAAUGACGGUACCAACAGAAGAAGUGACGGCUAAAUACGUG